GCUGGGUGUGGUGGCACACACCUGUAAUUCCAGCUACUUGGGAGGCUGAGGCAGGAGAAUCGCUUGAACCCAGGAGCUGGAGGUUGCAGUGAGCUGAGAUUGCACCACUGCACUCCAGCCUGGGUGACAGAGUGAGACCCUGUCUCCA
rnacentral:sRNA from 1 species